rnacentral:rRNA from 1 species
GACGAACCGUGCGAACGUUGUUCGGAAUCACUGGGCUUAAAGGGCGCGUAGGCGGGCUCGCCAGUCAGGGGUGAAAGCCCCCAGCUCAACUGGGGAAGUGCCUUUGAUACUGCGAGUCUCGAGGGAGGUAGGGGCGUGCGGAACUUCCGGUGGAGCGGUGAAAUGCGUAGAUAUCGGAAGGAACACCGGUGGCGAAAGCGGCGCGCUGGACCUCUUCUGACGCUGAGGCGCGAAAGCCAGGGGAGCAAACGGG